UAGCUAGUUGGUGAGGUAAAGGCUUACCAAGGCGACGAUCUGUAGCGGGUCUGAGAGGAUGAUCCGCCACACUGGAACUGAGACACGGUCCAGACUCCUACGGGAGGCAGCAGUGGGGAAUUUUGGACAAUGGGGGCAACCCUGAUCCAGCCAUGCCGCGUGAGUGAAGAAGGCCUUCGGGUUGUAAAGCUCUUUCGGCCGGGAAGAAAUCGCAUGGGUCAAUACCCUGUGUGGAUGACGGUACCGGAAUAAGAAGCACCGGCUAACUACGUGCCAGCAGCCGCGGUAAUACGUAGGGUGCGAGCGUUAAUCGGAAUUACUGGGCGUAAAGCGUGCGCAGGCGGUUUUGUAAGACAGGCGUGAAAUCCCCGGGCUUAACCUGGGAACUGCGUUUGUGACUGCAAGGCUAGAGUACGGCAGAGGGGGGUGGAAUUCCACGUGUAGCAGUGAAAUGCGUAGAGAUGUGGAGGAACACCAAUGGCGAAGGCAGCCCCCUGGGUCGAUACUGACGCUCAUGCACGAAAGCGUGGGUAGCAAACAGGAUUAGAUACCCUGGUAGUCCACGCCCUAAACUAUGUCAACUAGGUGUUGGGUGGGUAAAACCAUUUAGUACCGUAGCUAACGCGUGAAGUUGACCGCCUGGGGAGUACGGCCGCAAGGUUAAAACUCAAAGGAAUUGACGGGGACCCGCACAAGCGGUGGAUGAUGUGGAUUAAUUCGAUGCAACGCGAAAAACCUUACCUACCCUUGACAUGCCAGGAACUUGCCAGAGAUGGCUUGGUGCCCGAAAGGGAGCCUGGACACAGGUGCUGCAUGGCUGUCGUCAGCUCGUGUCGUGAGAUGUUGGGUUAAGUCCCGCAACGAGCGCAACCCUUGUCGUUAAUUGCCAUCAUUUGGUUGGGCACUUUAACGAGACUGCCGGUGACAAACUGGAGGAAGGUGGGGAUGACGUCAAGUCCUCAUGGCCCUUAUGGGUAGGGCUUCACACGUCAUACAAUGGUCGGUACAAAGGGUUGCCAAGCCGCGAGGCGGAGCCAAUCCCAGAAAGCCGAUCGUAGUCCGGAUUGCAGGCUGCAACUCGCCUGCAUGAAGUCGGAAUCGCUAGUAAUCGUGGAUCAGCAUGUCACGGUGAAUACGUUCCCGGGUCUUGUACACACCGCCCGUCACACCAUGGGAGCGGGUUCCGCCAGAAGUAGGUAGCCUAACCGCAAGGGGGGCGCUUACCACGGCGGGGUUCGUGACUGGGGUGAAGUCGUAACAAGGUAGCCGUAGGGGAACCUGCGGCUG
rnacentral:rRNA from 1 species